GGGUGAUUAGCUCAGCUGGGAGAGCACCUCCCUUACAAGGAGGGGGUCGGCGGUUCGAUCUUGCGAAAUUGCCUG
rnacentral:tRNA from 1 species